UACGUAGGGUGCGAGCGUUGUCCGGAAUUAUUGGGCGUAAAGGGCUCGUAGGCGGUCUGUCACGUCGGGAGUGAAAACUCAGGGCUUAACCCUGAGCCUGCUUCCGAUCCGGGCAGACUAGAGGUAUGCAGGGGAGAGCGGAAUUCCUGGUGUAGCGGUGAAAUGCGCAGAUAUCAGGAGGAACACCGGUGGCGAAGGCGGUUCUCUGGGCAUUACCUGACGCUGAGGAGCGAAAGUGUGGGGAGCGAACAGG
rnacentral:rRNA from 1 species